UCCCUGGUGGCUGAUGUUAAAGCAUCUGCCUGCAAUGCAGGAGACCUGGGUUCGAUCCCUGGGUUAGGAA
rnacentral:tRNA from 1 species